rnacentral:rRNA from 1 species
GACGAACGCUGGCGGCGUGCCUAAUACAUGCAAGUAGAACGCACAGUUUAUACCGUAGCUUGCUCCACCAUAGACUGUGAGUUGCGAACGGGUGAGUAACGCGUAGGUAACCUGCCUGGUAGCGGGGGAUAACUAUUGGAAACGAUAGCUAAUACCGCAUAAUAUUGAUUAUUGCAUGAUAAUUGAUUGAAAGAUGCUAUUGCAUCACUACCAGAUGGACCUGCGUUGUAUUAGCUAGUAGGUGAGGUAACGGCUCACCUAGGCGACGAUACAUAGCCGACCUGAGAGGGUGAUCGGCCACACUGGGACUGAGACACGGCCCAGACGCCUAAGGGAGGCAGCAGUAGGGAAUCUUCGGCAAUGGACGAAAGUCUGACCGAGCAACGCCGCGUGAGUGAAGAAGGGUUUCGGAUCGUAAAGCUCUGUUGUAAGAGAAGAACGGGUGUGAGAGUGGAAAGUUCACACUGUGACGGUAUCUUACCAGAAAGGGACGGCUAACUACGUG